UAUCUCUGUAGAGUCUGCAUACAAUAAGCGGAGGAAAAGAAACUAACAAGGAUUCCCUUAGUAACGGCGAGUGAAGCGGGAAGAGCUCAAAUUUGAAAUCUUCAAGGUUCUACCUUGACGAAUUGUAGUUUAAAGAAGUGUUUUCUGUUAGAUGAGUAGCAAAAGUUCCUUGGAAUGGGACAUCAUAGAGGGUGAGAAUCCCGUAUUUGGUUAUUCAUUCUAGCUUUGUGAUACACUUUCAAAGAGUCGGAUUGUUUGGGAAUGCAGUCCAAAAUGGGUGGUAAAUUUCAUCUAAAGCUAAAUAUUGGCGAGAGAACCGAUAGCGAACAAGUACCGUGAGGGAAAGAUGAAAAGAACUUUGAAAAGAGAGUUAAACAGUACGUGAAAUUGUCAAAAGGGAAGCGUUUGACACCAGUGUUGUUUUUUCCGAAAAUCAAUUACGAAUGGCUUGAUUUUGUGUUGUAUUGACCUUAUCAGCUUUCUUCACUUUUUUCGAGUCUUUCUUAAUGCACUUUUCGGUUAACAAGUCAACAUCAAUUUCUUUUGUUGUAAAAGAGUAUUCGGAAGGUGGCUUUCUUUUCGGAGAAAGUGUUUAUAGCCCUAUACUUCUACAAUCGGAGAGAUUGAGGUCUGCAGCGUAGAUCCUUCGGGGUUAGAUACAUUUGUGCUAAGUUGUAGCUUUUCAUAGACAACUUGUUGACUAUGUUUAGUCAUGCGGCUUACUCGCUUAUGCUAUUUUACCUACGCUUAGGAUGUUGACUGAUAUGUAGUCGUA
rnacentral:rRNA from 1 species